rnacentral:rRNA from 1 species
CCUACGGGCGGCAGCAGUGGGGACUAUUGGGCAAUGGAGGCAACUCUGACCCAGCAACGCCGCGUGAAUGAUGCAGGUCUUCGGAUUGUAAAGUUCUGUGAUGGGGGAUGUACACAAUGACGGUACCCCAAUAGCAAGCCACUCCUAACUACGUGCCAGCAGCCGCGGUCCUACGUAGGUGACAAGAGGUAUCCGGAAUGACUGGGCGUAAAGGGUGCGUAGGUGGUUUAGUAAGUUGGCGGUGUAAUUCCGGGGCUCAACCUCGGCGCUACCGCCAAAACUAUUAGACUAGAGUGCAGGGGGGGUAAGUGGAAUUCCUGGUGUAGCGGUGGAAUGCGUAGAUAUUAGGAGGAAC